rnacentral:rRNA from 1 species
GACGAACGCUGGCGGCGUGCUUAACACAUGCAAGUCGAACGGAAAGGCCCUGCUUUUGUGGGGUGCUCGAGUGGCGAACGGGUGAGUAACACGUGAGUAACCUGCCCUUGACUUUGGGAUAACCUCAGGAAACUGGGGCUAAUACCGGAUAGGAGCUCCUGCUGCAUGGUGGGGGUUGGAAAGUUUCGGCGGUUGGGGAUGGACUCGCGGCUUAUCAGCUUGUUGGUGGGGUAGUGGCUUACCAAGGCUUUGACGGGUAGCCGGCCUGAGAGGGUGACCGGCCACAUUGGGACUGAGAUACGGCCCAGACUCCUACGGGAGGCAGCAGUGGGGAAUAUUGCACAAUGGGCGGAAGCCUGAUGCAGCAACGCCGCGUGCGGGAUGACGGCCUUCGGGUUGUAAACCGCUUUCGCCUGUGACGAAGCGUUAGUGACGGUAAUGGGUAAAGAAGCACCGGCUAACUACGUG